rnacentral:tRNA from 1 species
GCCGAGGUGGUGAAAUAGGUAGACACGCUAUCUUGAGGGGGUAGUAACCAUAAGGUUGUGCGGGUUCAAAUCCCGCCCUGGGCA